rnacentral:rRNA from 1 species
GGUACUAAGUAUACGAGAAGUAGGGCGGGACACGUGAAAUCCUGUCUGAAUAUGGGGGGACCAUCCUCCAAGGCUAAAUACUCAUCAUCGACCGAUAGUGAACCAGUACCGUGAGGGAAAGGCGAAAAGAACCCCGGAAGGGGAGUGAAAUAGAACCUGAAACCUGAUGCAUACAUACAGUGGGAGCAUCUUUGUGGUGUGACUGCGUACCUUUUGUAU